AUACGGAGGAUCCGAGCGUUAUCCGGAUUUAUUGGGUUUAAAGGGUGCGUAGGCGGUUUGCUAAGCGGGAGGUGAAAUGCCGGCGCUCAACGUCGGAAGUGCCUCCCGAACUGGUGGACUUGAAUGACUCUGCCGUGGGAGGAAUGGGUAGUGUAGCGGUGAAAUGCUUAGAGAUUACACAGAACACCGAUUGCGAAGGCAUCUCACGAAGGGUUGAUUGACGCUGAGGCACGAAAGCGUGGGGAUCAAACAGGAUUAGAUACCCUGGUAGUCCGCACAGUAAACGAUGGACACCCGCGGUUUGGCCUAUAUGGCUGAGCCGCCAAGCGAAAGCGUUAAGUGUCCCACCUGGGGAGUACGCCGGCAACGGUGAAACUCAAAUGAAUUGACGGGG
rnacentral:rRNA from 1 species